UUUAUUGGUUUUGAUAAAGAGAAAGAGGGAGGAGGGCGAGGAACCCUAACGGAUCCAAUUUAUAUAUGUAGCUGCACCUUGGAUUCCAUUUUCAGACAUGUAGCUGCACCUUCUUGAUCUCCAUCAUUAUGGUUUGACUCACACUCUGAACCCUAUGUUUGAUGACCCUGAAAAAAGAAAGAGAGACACCUAGUAGCUUUCCAGAAACCCUUAUUCUUAGUGAAGAAGGACUAUAGAUGUGCGCAUAUAUACAGACACUUGGAGGAGUAGCAGGGUUCACAAGUUUGGGUCGGAUUAUUUCUAGAGUCUAGAGACCCAAGUUUGGGAAGUGCAUAUGGAUUCUUCGCUUGUUGAGUUGUUCAACUUCAAUGAGCAUCUGCGGCUUAAGAAAUGGGAAAGUGUUGUAGAUUUGUUUUAUGCCUCCAUCUUCUGAGACACAUGCUCUCUGUUAUGCUCUGAAUAAUUGUAGCUGAGAGUACACUUGGAACUAUACUACUAUAGUGUCAAAUUUUAGUUUCAUGGUGAAGAAAACAUUUAGUAGGGUGAAAAUAACUUCACCCCUCCAUUUUAGUGCGACAUCGAGUUGUUGGAUAUUAAGUUAUAUAGUACAUCCUUAUUUCAAGAAUUACUUCGAAAGGCUGAUACCAGAAUUUUAGCAAUAUAAUGCAACUAUUUAUCC